rnacentral:lncRNA from 13 species
GCGGGGCCGGCGCGAGCUCCCGGCGCGCUCCGCUGCACGACGGGACUUGUAGUCCUCCAGUAUCGUCGUGGGCGGGGCCGCCCCGGAGGCGGGACGGGAAAGCUCCUGCGCGACUCUUUAGCGGCAACUUAAGAUCAGCAACGAGAGCUUUUGUAAAUUCCCCUGUCUUUCCGCACCACUCUUGUUCUCGCAGCCAGUAUUGAGAAGUAAGCGAUAGAGAACUGAUACCGGUCCUGAUAAACAGUUGAAUAGAUGGCGUCGGGAGCUACCUCUUCCUGCUCAUUUCCUGCCAAUCUUAGUGUUUGAUCCCUGGCUUAAGUUAUUUCUUCUGCCUGGAUUGCUGUCCGGCCUUGUUUGCUGAGCUCAUCCUUCAAGAUGAGUUGCAGAUCACCUCUUCUGGGAGCGUCCAUAGGUCCACAGGUUAACAUUGUCCUCUCAUUAUCUAUUUCAUUGUUGGAUCUGAAGUCUCCGCAAAUCACGCUGUGGGAUCUGUGGCUAUGCUCUGUACACCGUGGACGUGACUACAAUGGAGUAAGACCUUGGCAACGCUUCACCGAUGACCCAACAGGACAGAGACGGACAGAGGCAGAAUGCAGCCCCCACAGAGCACAUUUAACCUUCCAGCGGGGCCACGUCUGUCAAACAGAGGAAAUGAGUUUCUGUGACGCUCUCUCUCUUCCUCUUCUGAUAAAAUCAAAUUGAGUCUCAGAGGAACCCAAAGGCUUCUCCAUAGGACAGUUCAUAACAAGGCAGUGUACUUCAUCAGAACAAGCAAGUAAGAAGAGCUGGGGAGAAAGAGAGAAGAGGAGAUGGAAGUUACACACUCUUGGGAGCUAAUCUCAGAAGUGAUCGCUCAUCACUUGUGCCGUAUGUACUGAUUAGAAGUGAGUACCUAAUUUCAGCCACUAAAGGAGAAGGGAUAAUACAAGGAAGGGUGUGGUGGGAACACCAGG